CAAUUUCUGGGUGAUGAGUUUUUUUUAAAUACUUUUCUAUUUUCUCACAGUUUUCUCUGAGGGUAUGAAUACUCUGUAAGCUGGAAAAAGGUUAUUAAAAGUAUUUUACUGAUAAUUGUGUGAGGAUGAGGCUGAUUGUCUUCAUUCCUAAAUAUUUGUGUAUUAAUAAUUGUUAGAUUUUUAUAGCAUUUUCAUAUAUUUUUUUAAAAACACAUGCAUUUUGAUCAUUUAAACAGGUUUACUAGAAACCAACAAAGGAUUUUGGAGCAAAAUAAGAACCAGAAGGAAGCCACCAAUACUACCAGUGAGCCUUCUGCCCCAUCUCAAGAUCUCCUCGACCUAAGUCCCAGUCCCCGGAUGCCUAGGGCCACUCUGGGAGAACUCAACACCAUGAAUAAUCAACUUUCAGGCUUAAGUAAAUAAACACUCAGGUCUUUUCAGACCAGCAGAAGAGCUUGAUGUUAAACAGUUCUCCUUAAUUACGUGAUUAAAUACCACCUAAGAAGGACUGAAGUCAGGUUGAAUGUCAGAGCGCUAUGUUAGGAGAUGUGAUUACUUCCCGGCAAAUGGUUGAGUCAAACCCAGUAUAGCAAUGGGAUGUGUCUGGGCGAGGAGGUCCUUGAAACUCAUCCUACUCACUUAGAAUCUCAUGGAAUUCACCUGGCCUGCUUUG
rnacentral:lncRNA from 1 species